CAGCCGUAAACUAUGCGCGUUAGGUGUACUGGUGACCACGAGUCACCGGGGUGCCGAAGGGAAACCGUGAAACGUGCCGCCUGGGAAGUACGGUCGCAAGGCUGAAACUUAAAGGAAUUGGCGGGGGUGCACCACAACGGGUGGAGCCUGCGGUUUAAUUGGACUCAACGCCGGAAAUCUCACCGGAUAGGACAGACAUAUGAUAGUCGGGCUGAAGACUCUACUUGAUGAUCUGAGAGGAGGUGCAUGGCGUCAGUGACU
rnacentral:rRNA from 1 species